CAGCAGCCGCGGUAAUUCGUAGGGUGCGAGCGUUAAUCGGAAUUACUGGGCGUAAAGCGUGCGCAGGCGGUUUUGUAAGACAGGCGUGAAAUCCCCGGGCUUAACCUGGGAAUUGCGCUUGUGACUGCAAGGCUAGAGUGCGUCAGAGGGGGGUAGAAUUCCACGUGUAGCAGUGAAAUGCGUAGAGAUGUGGAGGAAUACCGAUGGCGAAGGCAGCCCCCUGGGACGUGACUGACGCUCACCCACGAAAGCGUGGGGAGCAAACAGGAUUAGAUACCCUGGUAGUCCACGCCCUAAACGAUGUCAACUAGUUGUUGGGGAUUCAUUUCCUCAGUAACGUAGCUAACGCGUGAAGUUGACCGCCUGGGGAGUACGGUCGCAAGAUUAAAACUCAAAGGAAUUGACGG
rnacentral:rRNA from 1 species